GGCAUUUUGUACUCAAAUUCCAAGUGAGUCUGAGAAUUUUGUUGGUUUUCAAGAGUCAAAUUGCUAGAGCUGUUUGCUUUGCUUUUGCUCUCAACUGUCUCGCGCAAACACAUAUAAUCCGUUAGAUAAGUACUUCAAAACAAAAGGCCCACAAAACAAACUCUUAAGGCAUGUAAUUAAUAAAUCAAUUCACGUCAUAAACGGACUAAAUUACAUCUGUAAAUCUACUUCUUUUUUGUUGAAAAUUUUAGUUUUCAUUAACAAACAGUUGUGAAAAAGACAACAACACCCUAAACAGAACAAAUCACACUGUGUUCAUAUUUAUGCUAAGUAUUAACAAAACCUGAUUUGCAGGAAGAAGAAGAAGAAGAAGAAGAAGAAGAGGAAGAAGAAGCAGCAGCAGGCGUUUUGACUUGACUGUCGUCAGCGUCCAGCUCUAACACAGAGAAUGCAUUUGAGAGUCCAUCCAUCUUCACUGAUUGGUC
rnacentral:lncRNA from 1 species